UGACACGUAGGCACCAAGCGUUGUCCGGAUUUAUUGGGCGUAAAGAGCUCGUAGGCGGUUCGAUAAGUCGGGUGUGAAAACUUUGGGCUCAACCCAAAGCGUGCAUUCGAUACUGUUGUGACUAGAGUUCGGUAGGGGAGUGGGGAAUUCCUAGUGUAGCGGUGAAAUGCGCAGAUAUUAGGAGGAACACCGGUGGCGAAGGCGCCACUCUGGGCCGAAACUGACGCUGAGGAGCGAAAGCGUGGGUAGCAAACAGGAUUAGAUACCCUGGUAGUCCACGCCGUAAACGUUGGGCACUAGGUGUGGGUUCCAACCAACGGAAUCCGCGCCGUCGCAAACGCAUUAAGUGCCCCGCCUGGGGAGUACGGCCGCAAGGUUA
rnacentral:rRNA from 1 species